rnacentral:rRNA from 1 species
UUAGGAAUUUUGCGCAAUGGGCGAAAGCCUGACGCAGCAACGCCGCGUGAGGGAAGAAGGCCUUCGGGUUGUAAACCUCUUUUAGCAGGGACGAACACAAUGACGGUACCUGCAGAAAAAGCACCGGCUAACUACGUGCCAGCAGCCGCGGUAAUACGUAGGGUGCAAGCGUUAUUCGGAUUUAUUGGGCGUAAAGCGCAUGCAGGCGGUUUGAUUAGUCUGGUGUGAAAGCCCUCGACUCAAUCGAGGAAGUGCAUUGGAUACUGUCAGACUAGAGUGCAGGAGGGGUGAGCGGAAUUCCGGGUGUAGAGGUGAAAUUCGUAGAUAUCCGGAGGAACAACAGCGGCGAAGGCGGCUCACUGGACUGUAACUGACGCUCAGAUGCGAUAGUGUGGGGAGCGAACAG